CAGGCCUAACACAUGCAAGUCGGACGGCAGCAGGUCCUUCGGGAUGCUGGCGAGUGGCGGACGGGUGAGUAAUGCGUAGGAACCUAUCCUUUUGUGGGGGACAACCCAGGGAAACUUGGGCUAAUACCGCAUAAGCCCUGAGGGGGAAAGCGGGGGAUCUUCGGACCUCGUGCUGAAGGAGGGGCCUACGUCCGAUUAGCUAGUUGGUGGGGUAAAGGCCUACCAAGGCGACGAUCGGUAGCUGGUCUGAGAGGACGACCAGCCACACUGGGACUGAGACACGGCCCAGACUCCUACGGGAGGCAGCAGUGAGGAAUAUUGCGCAAUGGGGGCAACCCUGACGCAGCAACGCCGCGUGUGGGAAGAAGGCUUUCGGGUUGUAAACCACUUUUGCCCGGGACGAAAGGGGGGGCCUGAAUAAGGUCACCCGAUGACGGUACCGGGAGAAUAAGCCACGGCUAACUCUGUGCCAGCAGCCGCGGUAAGACAGAGGUGGCAAGCGUUGUUCGGAGUUACUGGGCGUAAAGAGUCUGUAGGUGGUCUGUCAAGUCUUUGGUGAAAGGCCGUGGCUUAACCAUGGGAAUGCCAAAGAGACUGGCAGACUGGAGGCUGGGAGAGGGAAGCGGAAUUUCUGGUGUAGCGGUGAAAUGCGUAGAUAUCAGAAGGAAGGCCCGGUGGCGAAGGCGGCUUCCUGGAACAGACCUGACACUGAGAGACGAAAGCGUGGGGGAGCAAACAGGAUUAGAUACCCUGGUAGUCCACGCCCUAAACGAUGGGUACUAAGUGUGGGAGGGUUAAACCUCCCGUGCCGCAGCCAACGCAGUAAGUACCCCGCCUGGGGAGUACGGCCGCAAGGUUGAAACUCAAAGGAAUUGACGGGGGCCCGCACAAGCGGUGGUGCAUGUGGUUUAAUUCGACGCAACGCGAAGAACCUUACCUGGGCUUGACAUGCCGCGAGUAGGGAACCGAAAGGGGACCGACCGGUUCAGUCCGGAAGCGGAACAGGUGCUGCAUGGCUGUCGUCAGCUCGUGCCGUGAGGUGUUGGGUUCAGUCCCGCAACGAGCGCAACCCUCGCCCUCUGUUGCCACCGGGUCAUGCCGGGCACUCUGAGGGGACUGCCAGCGACAAGUUGGAGGAAGGAGAGGAUGACGUCAAGUCAUCAUGGCCCUUAUGCCCAGGGCCACACACGUGCAACAAUGGCCGGUACAGACGGAAGCAAGACCGAGAGGUGGAGCAAAUCCGAGAAAGCCGGUCCCAGUUCGGAUUGAGGUCUGCAACUCGACCUCAUGAAGUCGGAAUCGCUAGUAAUCGCGUAUCAGCACGACGCGGUGAAUACGUUCCCGGGCCUUGUACAC
rnacentral:rRNA from 1 species